UACGUAGGGUGCGAGCGUUGCCCGGAAUUACUGGGCGUAAAGAGCUCGUAGGCGGUUUGUCGCGUCUGCUGUGAAAACUCGGGGCUUAACUCCGGGCCUGCAGUGGGUACGGGCAGACUAGAGUGCGGUAGGGGAGACUGGAAUUCCUGGUGUAGCGGUGAAAUGCGCAGAUAUCAGGAGGAACACCGGUGGCGAAGGCGGGUCUCUGGGCCGUAACUGACGCUGAGGAGCGAAAGCGUGGGGAGCGAACAGG
rnacentral:rRNA from 1 species